ensembl:lncRNA ADCY10P1 ADCY10 pseudogene 1
GAGCGGCAUGCGACGCCGCCUCUGUGGCCUGUGGAGGCCCGCUUGGCGGCGCUGCUUCCCGACCUACUGGUCUUUCGGAAGCCUCGGGGAUGGGAACCCGAGCUCGCCACGGCCCAGGGCGUCCUCCUAGGCGUCCAUGUGACGGGGUUUACAGCAUUAAUGGACAGGUUCACCCUGACCUACAAGUCGGAACGUGACAUGGACAAACUGGCCCAUAUCUUCAGUUAUUACAUUAGUGACAUCGUGGAGCAUGUUCUCUGUUUUGGAGGGGAUAUCCUAAAUAUCACAGGUCUACCUGCAAGUCGGAUUUCCCAGGUUAUUGUUGGAGAUGAGCGGCAGCAAUACCUCUUGGUGAUUGGGCAGGUUGUAGUGAUGUCCAGUUAGCUCAGCGUUUGGCUCAGGCGAAUGAAAUUGUCCUAUCCUGGAACUGCUGGAUGCUUUGCAAGCAGUAUAUGUUUGAAGUGGCAAUCAUGAGGGAGGAUGAAGCUGUGAAGAGACUCUUAAGAACUGCACUGGAAUUGGAUCCACACUCUGAACUUGACCAAAAGCUGCAGAAGCACAUAAUGAAAAACCUUUUGAAGAAGCUUAUUUCCUAGUUCUUGAAUCCUCAUAGAGUCUCUCUCUCUCUCUCUCUCUCUCUCUCUCUCUCUCUCUCUCUCUCUCUCUCUCUCUCUGUGUGUGUGUGUGUGUGUGUGUGCAUGCACAUGCAUAAACAGGUGUACAAUUAUAAGUGACAACUUUUUUAUAUUUAUCCAGUUAAUCUCCAGCAACCCAUUGUAAUUCCAGCAAAUUUACCCAUCUGUGCCAACAUAAUACUGUGAUGAACAUGUCUUAAACCUUUAGUUAGAUUUCUCAGUCCUAGAAAGUAGAAGCCAUAUUUGUUCUUUAGUUUGUUCUUUAACAAUUUAGUACACUGUAAGAAGGGUAUAGAGUGUAUGUUUGGUAAAUAUAAGUUGACUGAUUGUAUAUAUAUGAAUAUAUGUGAAUUCCUUAGUAAGAGAUGUAAUGACUAAUGGAUGUGUCAAAUUAAUUCUUAGAGAGUAAAUCUUGACAGAUUUCAUCAGUGAAUUCUGCCUAAAGUCAGUUUUAAUUCCAAGUUCAUUGGUUUGUAUAUCUUCUAUACUGAAUUUUCUUUUAAGUUUUUGCUGAGACCCAUAAGUUGUUUUCUCAUACAUACCAUGAAAUACAUAAUUAAAAAUGCCUGAACAUGAUGUUGAUAGUUGAAAAUACAGGUAGGUAACUCAAUGUGUCUUUAUAGAUUGAUGAAGGCCAGCCUAUAGAGUAUGUAUCUGAAUUCCGUACGAUGACUCUGGUUUUGGUCAGCCUAGAGUUCCACAGGACAGCGUGGAUGUUGCAUUUGUGUCAUCUUAUCCAGGAGGCUGCCUUAUACAUCUCCACAGUCAUUGAGAAAGGGGGCGGCCAGCUGAGUCGGAUCUUUAUGUUUGAGAAAGGCUGCAUGUUCCUCUGUGUUUUCGGCCUUCCUGGUGAUAAGAAGCCAGACGAGUGUGCACAUGCCCUGGAGAGCUCCUUCAGCAUCUUCAGCUUCUGCUGGGAGAAUCUUGCUAAGACCAACUGAGGAGGAAGAUCCCUAGAUUUGUUUCCAUCAGUAUCACUAAUGGACCAGUAUUCUGUGGCGUGGUUGGAGCAGUAGCAAGACACGAAUAUACAGUUAUUGGCCCAAAAGUGAGUCUUGCGGCCAGAAUGAUAACUGCUUAUCCAGGUUUGGUGUCCUGUGAUGAGGUAACAUAUCUAAGAUCCAUGCUACCUGCUUACAACUUCAAGAAACUCCCAGAGAAAAUGAUGAAAAACAUCUCCAACCCAGGGAAGAUAUAUGAAUAUCUUGGCCACAGAAGAUGUAUAAUGUUUGGAAAAAGACAUUUGGCAAGAAAGAGAAACAAAAAUCACCCUUUGUUAGGAGUGUUAGGUGCUCCCUGUCUCUCUACAGACUGGGAGAAAGAAUUGGAAGCCUUCCAAAUGGCACAGCAAGGGUGUUUGCACCAGAAGAAGGGACAAGCAGUUCUGUAUGAAGGUGGAAAAGGCUAUGGAAAAAGCCAGCUGUUGGCUGAAAUAAACUUUCUGGCACAGAAAGAAGGGCAUAGGGGACUCCUGAUGACCAUAGUCAUAUUCACCAGGGUGUUGCCAUUGAUGCUGAAGGAAGCAGAUUCCAAGCAGUGCUUCUAUGCCAUCCAGACCCUCAUGGCCAUCUUCUUUGAGAUUGAUACAUGCCCAGCCUAUUACCGGCAAGAGUGCCUACAAAGACAGCUUUGUGGGAUAGUGGAAGAACAACUUCACUGCCUUUUUAGUGACCUCUUAUUUGUGAAGCUACCCUUCACAGGUGCUUUGGAAACCCACUUUAUUGUGAGGUCCUAUGCCAGGACCUUCUCUCUAAGGACGUGUUGCUCUUUCAUGUCCUACAAAAGGAGGAAGAGGAAAACAGCAAGUGGGAAACCCUCUCAGCCAAUGCCAUGAAAUCCAUAAUGUAUAGUAUUUCUCCUGCCAACUCUGAGGAAGGCCAGGAACUUUAUGUCUGCACAGUCAAGGAUGAUGUGAACUUGGAUACAGUACUUCUCCUACCCUUUUUGAAAGAGUAGACAGUAAGCAAAGAAGAUGAUGUUGCUAAGAUUUAAGAAAAUCCAUGGUGUUAGUGAAGAUACAAUGUUAUGCACAUAGCAAGAGUUUAAUAAAAAAAGAGUGCAAAGUAGAAUGACUGAUGCCAUAAAGAAUAAUGAAACUAUCAGAAUCAGAAAUAGCAGUAAGCCAACUGGAUCAACUGAGCCCAGAGGAACAGUUGCUGGUCAAGUGUGCUGCAAUCAUUGGUCACUCCUUCCAUAUAGAUUUGCUGCAGCACCUCCUGCCUGGCUGGGAUAAAAAUAAGCUACUUCAGGUCUUGAGAGCUCUUGUGGAUAUACAUGUGCUCUGCUGGUCUGACAAGAGCCAAGAGCUUCCUGCUGAGCCCAUAUUAAUGCCUUCCUCUAUCGACAUCAUUGAUGGAACCAAAGAGAAGAAGACAAAGUUAGAUGGUGGGUCAGCCUCUCUUCUCAGGCUACAAGAAGAAUUAUCCCUACCACAAACUGAGGUGUUGGAAUUUGGAGUGCCUCUGCUACGGGCAGCUGCUUGGGAGCUCUGGCCCAAGGAACAACAGAUAGCUCUGCACCUUGAAUGUGCCUGCUUUCUCCAAGUUUUGGCCUGCCGCUGUGGGAGCUGCCAUGGAGGAGACUUUGUCCCCUUUCAUCAUUUUGCAGUUUGUUCUACUAAGAAUUCCAAGGGGACCUCUCGAUUCUGUACUUACAGAGAUACUGGCUCAGUGCUAACACAAGUGAUCACAGAAAAAUUGCAGCUGCCUUCUCCCCAAGAUAGUUUUCAGUUCCAGACAAAACCAUCCAGAACUCAGGAGGCCUUCUCAAGUGAAUGCUGCAGAACAGAGGAAGAGUUCCUAGAUCAAGUGAAGAGGAAGCUGGCUCAGACCAGCCCUGAGAAAGACCUGUUGACCACAAAGCCUUGUCACUGUAAGGAUAUCCUGAAGUUAGUGCUCUUACCCCUCACCCAGCAUUGCUUGGUCGUUGGAGAAACCACCUGUGCAUUUUAUUACCUGCUGGAGGCUGCGGCUGCCUGCUUGGACCUGUCAGAUAAUUAUAUGUAAGAAGAAUUUGGCAGUCCUGCAGCAGCAGGUGCAUUGCCUCUCCCUACUCUGGCAGCUCUAUAACCUGGAGGCCACAGCCAGUAGCUACAGGUUUGCCUGCCUGGCUACUCUUAUGCAGAAGAAUUCAGCUGAUGAGUUUGCAAAUGAAGCCCAGGUUGUCUCUACCUAUGUGGAGCUCUCUCAGUUCUCCCAGAGUGUGGGCAUCAAGGACAAGUGGCUGCACUGUGAGCAGAUGGCCAUUCAGAAAAGCAGUUUAUGUUGGUUCUCCAGGGAGGGGUUGUUGGCCACAGCUCAGCUCAUGCAGGCCCUGGCCUACACCAAGCUCUGCCUUGGUCAUCUUGACUUCUCCAUCAAGCUGGGAUUGCUGUGUCGGCCCUUUAGUGAGUGUCUGCGUUUCGUUCAAGUCUACGAGCACAGCCGUGUUCUAACCUCUCAGAGCAAUGUCAUGCUGGGGGUCCACUCCUCCCUGGCCAUGUGUACUGUAAGGAGUUCUUCUCUCAAUGUGUGACCUGCCCUGUCUAUCACCAGUGGGUAUCUGAGCUUAAGGCCUCUGUAAUGAGAUGUGAAAAGAGAGAAUUGAUGUCCCUGACUAACAGCAUCAGACCUUUUGACACCUGCUUGACCAGGAUUUGGAUAAAAGGAGAAUUUCUGCAGGAAAAUAACUCUUAGAAAAGAAACUUAGGAAUACAGAGAUUUGACAGAGUGGCUGAUGUCAAGGAGAACAAGGAUGCAGAAGAAACUCAAGAUGUAUGUAUUAAAACAAAAGAACAAUAACCUGAAGGGACCAUGAUUCUGUUAUUGUAUAUAACACAAGGAAAUGCCCCAGAUUCUCCUUUAAAAGAUAUAAUGUACAUAUUAAGUAUACUAGCCUUUAUAGUUACUGCUAUCUACAUGUUUAUCAAAAUAAAAGACUAUUUUUUUCUAAAACA